UAUGAAUUAAACACUCAAAUAGGGCUACUACGCUUACGUCCAACGCUCACGUCACACCAUAAUGCGGCUAUAUGCUACGCCAUUAAGGUGGACAGACACAUAUGGCUAGCUAGCAUUUAUAUACAUACUCUAUCCUAACUACAUAUUUAUAUAUCCACCGAAAAUCCCAUUUUCGGUAACUCUCCAAUUUUCGGUAACUCUCCAAGAGAAAUAAAAAUCGUCAAAUUUAAAAUGACGUUAAAAUACUCCACGACAUUAAUUGUUAAACCAUGAACUAUAGCAUGCAUUUAUUUAAAAUAAACGUCCACUCACAAAUUAGGCCUAAGCCUGAUGUCGAUCUGGGGUCUCGUCUGCUCGAGCCUCCUCACGUCCUGUUCCAAAUAUAAAAUUAAUUUCCCAACCAAUAAUCUAAUAUUUAAUCAAAAUAGGCAAAAUUACCCGAGAGCCAUAAAUACGCUCAUCAUUGCCUAACUUCGAUAUUCUUAAAUCGGAACGAUCCGAACUUAAAUAUCAUACUCAUCAGUCGUAAAUACAACCUCCCCAAAAUACGACUUAAAUCCUACGGCCGGAUUCUGCAUUAAUUAACCGUCAAAAAUACCAAACUUCGGAAAUUCACAAACCUAUCCAAAUCUCAUCCAAAAAUUCCAUAAAUCACAUCAAUAUACUCCUCUUAAUAUUCCACACUCAAAACCCUAAAAAUCUCCUAACCGGCGGCGGCGCCGCCGGCAGCGGCGGCCGGAGGCCAAUUCCGGCGACCUCCAAAACCUAUGAAAUUUUGACAGAAUAAUCCUCUCAUCAUGCUCUACAACUUUCCUAACUAGCACAAACACCAAUUCCAAGCCUAACUAGGGCAAUCGACUAAAAACAUCAAAAACGCCAUAAAACUUCCACCUCAAAUUUCUCCUUACCUAGCUCAAGAGGGGGUGAGUCCUUUUAGGGCAAGGCUGCUGGGUUGGAGGGCUACAAAACCGUACCAAGCUUGCCCGGAUUGAUGGCCGGAGGAGGGAGUUCCGGCGACGUGAACCUUAACACAGUCGGACCUCUCGGGCCCGAUAUCUUCCUCA
rnacentral:lncRNA from 1 species